rnacentral:rRNA from 1 species
GACGAACGCUGGCGGCGUGCCUAAUACAUGCAAGUAGAACGCUGAAGGAGGAGCUUGCUUCUCUGGAUGAGUUGCGAACGGGUGAGUAACGCGUAGGUAACCUGCCUGGUAGCGGGGGAUAACUAUUGGAAACGAUAGCUAAUACCGCAUAAGAGUAGAUGUUGCAUGACAUUUGCUUAAAAGGUGCAAUUGCAUCACUACCAGAUGGACCUGCGUUGUAUUAGCUAGUUGGUGAGGUAACGGCUCACCAAGGCGACGAUACAUAGCCGACCUGAGAGGGGGGUCGGCCAAACUGGGACUGAGACACGGCCCAGACUCCUACGGGAGGCAGCAGGAGGGAAUCUUCGGCAAUGGACGGAAGUCUGACCGAGCAACGCCGCGUGAGUGAAGAAGGUUUUCGGAUCGUAAAGCUCUGUUGUAAGAGAAGAACGAGUGUGAGAGUGGAAAGUUCACACUGUGACGGUAUCUUACCAGAAAGGGACGGCUAACUACGUG